rnacentral:rRNA from 1 species
ACUCCUACGGGAGGCAGCAGUGGGGAAUAUUGCACAAUGGGCGCAAGCCUGAUGCAGCCAUGCCGCGUGUGUGAAGAAGGCCUUCGGUUGUAAAGCACUUUCAGUCGUGAGGAAGGUAGUGUAGUUAAUAGCUGCAUUAUUUGACGUUAGCGACAGAAGAAGCACCGGCUAACUCCGUGCCAGCAGCCGCGGUAAUACGGAGGUGCGAGCGUUAAUCGGAAUUACUGGCGUAAAGCGCAUGCAGGUGGUUUGUUAAGUCAGAUGUGAAAGCCCGGGGCUCAACCUCGGAAUAGCAUUUGAAACUGGCAGACUAGAGUACUGUAGAGGGGGUAGAAUUUCAGGUGUAGCGGUGAAAUGCGUAGAGAUCUGAAGGAAUACCGGUGGCGAAGGCGGCCCCCUGGACAGAUACUGACACUCAGAUGCGAAAGCGU